AAACGUAUAUGUAAAUUGCCAUAUGCCCUUCAAUUACAAAACCUUUUAUUUUGGACAAUUUUACCCCUUCAGGGACGCUAUCCUACUGCGAGUAGACUCGCGUCGCAUUCAGAGUAGUGUCAGGUGACUCCUUUUAAAUCAUUGGACAAUUGGAUAGUUCGUGUCUCUCCAGAUAUUAUGUCCAAAGAGCUUGAGAACACGCUGUCAAUUUAUUUUCCCAAACAGUUCCAUUUAUUCUUAUCUCCCAACCACUUCUUCUCCUUUUAUACUCAAUUCCGACGAUUACUUCAUCAGUCUCUCUCUCUUCUAAUCCAUCUUAUCAAUCCGCGAUUUCAUCUCGAGAACCCUAAUCUCGUGAAACGAAGAAGCGAUGGAAGAACACUUCUAAGAACAUUCCAACAGACCUUGUUCAUGUUUCCGACAUCACCACUGCCCCUGUUAACGCCAGCAAUCCACAUGUGCCUGAGUACAGUACCUCAUCAGAAGCUGCUGAUCGUCGCAUCGACGAUGUCCUGCGUGAUCUGAACGUUGUACGUGAUGUUCCUCUCCAUGCAUUCACAGACGCUGACGACCCGCAACAUAUGGCGGAUCACACAGAGAAACAGUUAGAUGACUCCACACCUAUUGAACAGUUUGAGCAUCCCUCGGUCAACACCAACCCCUUGCAAACCAGAACACAACAAUUAAAGUUCAGGAGAUGGAUGGACAUGGGAAGGACUCUUACCACACGGCACAAGUAACUCUUAUCUUUACGUCUAAGUUUUAUGUUUACCGCUAACUGUCGAAAUAUAUAUGACCAGGAUGAGAACCAAGUUUCGGACAACGUGCACUGCGAACAGAUGGAGCAACUUGUUGAUGAUAACAUCCCUCUUGGCUCGUUUGAGCAUCUCUUGGUCAACACCAACCCCCUGGAAACCAGAACACAACAGUUGAAGUUCAGGAGAUGGAUGAACAUGGGAAGGACUCUGACUUCUUUAGCAAGUAACUCCUAUCUUUACGUCUAAGUUUUCUGUUUACCGCUAACUGUCAUAAUAUAUAUGACCAGGAAUUUACAGUCUCCAGAUGCAAGGAAAUACUGCAAGUCUCUAGUCAGAUCGAUGCAACAGUCAUGACUGUGCUGUUUAUUGAAGCUCACGCUUGUGAUGAGCUUGGUGGUUGCAAGGCUAUCACUCCUCCUCGGUUCCCGGAAGCCGCCAAACAACUGACUGUUAAACUCUUUGAUGACAUUUGGGUGUAAGGGGUGUGGUUAACUCUCUCUUCAAGGACUUAGUUAUGUGUUUGCAGUUUUUGUGUGUUUUCCUAAGUUUUAUUUACCCAGAAAUUUUCUUUCCAAGUUAUCGCCUAUGUAACAGACAUGGUUUCUCUUGACUCUCAAUUUUUCUUUUGCUUACUA